rnacentral:rRNA from 1 species
UGGGGAAUAUUGCACAAUGGGCGCAAGCCUGAUGCAGCGACGCCGCGUGAGGGAUGACGGCCUUCGGGUUGUAAACCUCUUUCAAUAGGGACGAAGCGCAAGUGACGGUACCUAUAGAAGAAGGACCGGCCAACUACGUGCCAGCAGCCGCGGUAAUACGUAGGGUCCGAGCGUUGUCCGGAAUUACUGGGCGUAAAGAGCUCGUAGGUGGUUUGUCGCGUUGUUCGUGAAAACUCACAGCUUAACUGUGGGCGUGCGGGCGAUACGGGCAGACUAGAGUACUGCAGGGGAGACUGGAAUUCCUGGUGUAGCGGUGGAAUGCGCAGAUAUCAGGAGGAACACCGGUGGCGAAGGCGGGUCUCUGGGCAGUAACUGACGCUGAGGAGCGAAAGCGUGGGGAGCGAACAGGAUUAGAUACCCUGGUAGUCCACGCCGUAAACGGUGGGUACUAGGUGUGGGUUUCCUUCCUUGGGAUCCGUGCCGUAGCUAACGCAUUAAGUACCCCGCCUGGGGAGUACGGCCGCAAGGCUAAAACUCAAAUGAAUUGACGGGGUCAUAGCUGUUUU